rnacentral:rRNA from 1 species
AUACGGAGGGUGCAAGAGUUACUCGGAAUCACUGGGCGUAAAGCGCGCGCAGGCGGGCUGAUAAGUUGGAUGUGAAAGCCUACGGCCCAACCGUAGAACUGCAUCCAAAACUGUCAGUCUAGAGUCUGGGAGGGGAAGAUGGAAUUAGUUGUGUAGGGGUAAAAUCCGUAGAGAUAACUAGGAAUACCAAAAGCGAAGGCGAUCUUCUGGAACAGUACUGACGCUGAGGCGCGAAAGCGUGGGGAGCAAACAGGAUUAGAAACCCUAGUAGUCC